AACAGCAGCACUUGUUCUGGGAUAUACCGACACUUUACUAUGUGUUGCUAUAUACCCUAGCGACUGCACAUAUAGCGGCACUAUUUUUAGUGUCGGUAUUUUUGCCAGCAGCACUUUAUUUAGGUUUUAGGGACACUAAAAAUUGUCGCUAUAGCUUAGUUUUGUUGUAGUUACAGGACCACUUGCUCUACUACCAUAUGAAACAGUCAAUUACUCCAAAAACUCACGCUAUCAAAAGAACGAUGUUUAAUAUCCU
rnacentral:lncRNA from 1 species